AAUGUUCUUAAUAUAAAACUUUCAACUUCCAGAGGUGGUUGCGCCCAGUCUCAUUCGCAAUCUCGUCUCGAUCCUCUUCCUCCAGCAGACUAUCGAUCUUCUCGUUGAAACUUGGUCUACUUUUCAUCCCACCAUCAUACGCAUUACGCAACACUAGUUUCAUAUUUAUGCUCAUCUUUACAUGACACACUUUUUGUACGGCGUUUAAGCAUUUUAUUGGUCUCGGUGGUAGGUCAAAAGUGGGUGGGGAGUACAUAUUUCAGUCAAUAUGCUUCGAAGGGUACUUCUCCUAAGUCUUCUCAUAGUCAUUUUUGUCAUCAGUGUCUACUCACGACCAACUGAAGAAGAAGUGGAAGCAGCUAGUCAGAAAUGCAAAUUUAAUGGAACCAACACAAGAUACAACUGCACUGGAAUCGGAGGAAAUUAUAGAUGCGUGCUUACUAACUGUUUUGACUAAUUUAUUACAACAUUUUAGUUAAACAUUCGUCCAUCGCAUUACCCAGAAGUCGGGAGUUAGAUAAUAUGAGAUAUAAAGGAUCGAAUUACCUCAACCGAUAAUGAACUUCGCAGUAAUAAUAAUUAUUAUUGUAAGCGUGAGUACAAACAGCCGUCGUAAAAAAUAACUCAUAAUUUGAACCAAGAAAAUGUUGAUGUAAAAAGUAAUAAAGAUUGCUAUUUCUGUAUGCUAAGUACAUAAA